AUUGCUUGUCAGCCUUUUGGCGAAGAUAAAGUGCAGAUCAGUUUAAUAGCCGAUAUGUUCACCAUAGGAGGACUUUAAUAUUAAACAGAUUUUUAGAGCAGGAAGUUGGAAGAGGGACUUGCUUCAUUCACUCUAUGCAUCAAACUGGUUUUGCAGUAGGCAGAUUCUACCGUAACUGGAUCCAUUAAC